rnacentral:lncRNA from 1 species
AUGGCAGAGCAACGAAGGGCAAGUAGCAGCAGACUGGUAUUCGACGGCGACGAAGCAAAGUAUGAAGUUUGGGAAACUAAAUUGUUGGGACACUUUCGUUUAUUAGGGCUGAAAAACACUGUGUUGAAUGAGCCAGUAGAAGAAGCUGAAAAAGCAGCAGAUCCUGAGAAAAACGCGGACGCGUAUGCAGAGUUGAGAUUACUGCUAGAUGACAAAAGUCUGUCUCUGGUAAUGAGAGAUGCGCAAGAUGAUGGCAGAAAAGCAUUAAAUAUUCUGAAAGACUAUUAUGCAGGGAAGGGUCAGCCUUGUAUAAUUAGUUUGUACACCACGCUGACCUCACUUCAAAAGUCCAGCGGCGAAAGUGUAAUAGACAACAUCAUUAGAGCAGAGACCGCCAUAACUGCCCUGAGAAACGCGGGAGAAACGCUGGGGGACAGUUUGCUGGUGGCUAUGGCGCUGAAGGGAUUGCCAGAGAGCUUCAAGCCAUUCGCAAUUCAUGUGGCGCACACCUACGAUAACAUCACGUUUGCUGACUUCAAGACCAAAUUGCGGAGUUUCGAGGAAACCGAGAACAUCAGAGCAACCGGGUCGAACGAUGCGAGCGUGAUGAAGACCCAGGGGAGAACCGGACGGCGACCUCCCAGUAGCAGCGCACAUGGACCGGGCAAAGACGACAGCGAGAUGGCGUGCUUCAAGUGCGGGACCAAGGGGCACCGAGCGAGAGCGUGUCGACAGAAGACGUGGUGUAGUGUUUGCAAAAGUGACACACACAGGGACGCGACAUGCAGACGAAAAGACAAAGACAGAGACCGAAGGGACGGCGUGAACAAAGUAUCGGAGAAUGCUGAGGUAACGGAGGACUUCGCGUUCAAGAUGGCGGACGGACGGGCCAGUGACCAGCGGCAGCCGGCGCACACCAUCCAGGAGAGGGGCCUGAUGGUGGACACCGGGGCCACAUCCCACAUCAUCAACGACAUCGCCUUGUUCACAAGUUUCGACAGGCCGGAGACUCACAGCGUCGAGUUGGCUGAUGGGACCAGAUGCAGCGGCGUCGCUCAGCGGAGAGGCACGGCAGUGGUUACCCUCAUCGACAGCAGUGGACGGCGGUGCAAUGCGAAACUGUUGGACGCUCUGUAUGUGCCGUCGUACCCGCAGAACAUUUUCUCGGUGAAGGCAGCAACCACGACUGGGUCCACAGUCGUCUUCAAAGAAGACAGUGAUGUCUUGAUAACCAGAUAUGGUACCAGGUUUGACAUUCAUGUGUUUGGCAGGUUGUACUACCUGCACACUGAGAUUGAGUCAACUGAUGAUAAGUGUAAUGCAACCCACGACAUCCAAGCAUGGCAUGAGAUACUAGGCCACUGUAAUUAUGAUGAUGUGCUUAGGUUACAUGAUGUUGUUGAUGGUAUGCAGAUCAAGGGAAAAAUUAGUAAGCCUGAGCAAGAGUGUGAGGUGUGUAUUCAAGGGAAGUUUACACAAACUAGAAAUAGGAACCCCGAUGCCAGAGCAAAGGCUCCUUUAGAAAUGAUACACACAGACCUUGCAGGUCCAAUAGCCACUGAGUCAUUAGAUGGGUACAAAUAUGCACAGUCUUUCACCGAUGAUUACUCAAAUGCAGUAUUUGUUUCCUUCUUAAAGAAAAAGAGUGACGCAGUGCAGGCAACUGAAAAAUUCCUUGCAGAUGUAUCCCCUUAUGGGAAGGUGAAGUGUAUGCGAUCUGAUAAUGGAACUGAAUUCACAGGUGGUGAUUUCCAGGCGCUCCUGAGGAAAAGCAAAAUUAGGCAUGAGACGACAGCUCCGUACUCACCGCACCAAAAUGGAACAGCAGAACGUGGGUGGCGUACUCUUUUCGAGAUGGGCAGGUGCAUGCUAAUUGAAAGUGAGUUACCAAAACACCUUUGGCACUACGCAGUACAAACAGCAGCAACGGUACGCAACAGAUGCUUGAACAAGCGCACAGGGCUGACUCCUUACGAGAUGUUGACAAACAAAAAGCCCAAUGUGUCCAGAAUGCAACGAUUCGGGUCUGUUUGCUACAAUUAUCAGCAGGAAAAGGGAAAGCUUGACUCCAGGUGUGAUCAGGGGCGUUUUGUGGGGUACGAUAAAAAUAGCCCAACGUAUUUGGUGUAUCACCCAAAUACAAACAACAGAGAAAGGAGGGACUUCGUGAGAGAAGACAGUGAUAGUGACGGGAUGCAUGUCACAGUAGACUACUGCUGCAGAGCAGUUUGUGGCAUUCCGCAAACUUAUGGUGAAGCAAUGCAGUCAGACAAUUCAAAAGCAUGGAGAAAAGCAAUGAAUGAGGAAAUCCAGUCUCUAAAUGAGAAUAAAACCUUUAGCCCGACAACACUACCCGUGGGCAAGAAACCAGUGGCGGGUAGGUGGGUUUACGCAAUCAAGUCUGGUGUAGAUGGGAAUGACCAGUACAAGGCUCGAUUUGUCGCCAAGGGCUACAGCCAGAAAAUUGGGGUAGACUAUGGGGAAACGUUUUCACCUACAGCAGACCUAACCCGUGUUAGAAUUGUGAUACAGAAGGCAGUGCAGGAAAAUUUACUGGUCCACCAAAUGGACGUGAAAACCGCAUUCUUACUAGAGAUGCACGGUUGGCGGUUGCAACCGCGGACUCCGCGGUUAAACCGCGGAUCGGGCGGGUGA